GAUGAACGCUGGCGGCGUGCCUAAUACAUGCAAGUCGAGCGAACAGACGAGGAGCUUGCUCCUCUGACGUUAGCGGCGGACGGGUGAGUAACACGUGGAUAACCUACCUAUAAGACUGGGAUAACUUCGGGAAACCGGAGCUAAUACCGGAUAAUAUAUUGAACCGCAUGGUUCAAUAGUGAAAGACGGUUUUGCUGUCACUUAUAGAUGGAUCCGCGCCGCAUUAGCUAGUUGGUAAGGUAACGGCUUACCAAGGCGACGAUGCGUAGCCGACCUGAGAGGGUGAUCGGCCACACUGGAACUGAGACACGGUCCAGACUCCUACGGGAGGCAGCAGUAGGGAAUCUUCCGCAAUGGGCGAAAGCCUGACGGAGCAACGCCGCGUGAGUGAUGAUGGUCUUCGGAUCGUAAAACUCUGUUAUUAGGGAAGAACAAAUGUGUAAGUAACUAUGCACGUCUUGACGGUACCUAAUCAGAAAGCCACGGCUAACUACGUG
rnacentral:rRNA from 1 species